rnacentral:rRNA from 1 species
CCUUGCGGCCUGCCUUACCAUGCAAGUCGAACGAUGAUGCCCAGCUUGCUGGGCGGAUUAGUGGCGAACGGGUGAGUAAUACGUGAGUAACCUGCCCUUGACUCUGGGAUAAGCCUGGGAAACUGGGUCUAAUACUGGAUACUACCGUCCACCGCAUGGUGGGUGGUGGAAAGGGUUUUACUGGUUUUGGAUGGGCUCACGGCCUAUCAGCUUGUUGGUGGGGUAAUGGCUCACCAAGGCGACGACGGGUAGCCGGCCUGAGAGGGUGACCGGCCACACUGGGACUGAGACACGGCCCAGACUCCUACGGGAGGCAGCAGUGGGGAAUAUUGCACAAUGGGCGGAAGCCUGAUGCAGCGACGCCGCGUGAGGGAUGACGGCCUUCGGGUUGUAAACCUCUUUCAGUAGGGAAGAAGCGAGAGUGACGGUACCUGCAGAAGAAGCGCCGGCUAACUACGUGCCAGCAGCCGCGGUAAUACGUAGGGCGCAAGCGUUGUCCGGAAUUAUUGGGCGUAAAGAGCUCGUAGGCGGUUUGUCGCGUCUGCUGUGAAAGCCCGGGGCUCAACCCCGGGUCUGCAGUGGGUACGGGCAGACUAGAGUGCAGUAGGGGAGACUGGAAUUCCUGGUGUAGCGGUGAAAUGCGCAGAUAUCAGGAGGAACACCGAUGGCGAAGGCAGGUCUCUGGGCUGUUACUGACGCUGAGGAGCGAAAGCAUGGGGAGCGAACAGGAUUAGAUACCCUGGUAGUCCAUGCCGUAAACGUUGGGCACUAGGUGUGGGGGACAUUCCACGUUUUCCGCGCCGUAGCUAACGCAUUAAGUGCCCCGCCUGGGGAGUACGGCCGCAAGGCUAAAACUCAAAGGAAUUGACGGGGGCCCGCACAAGCGGCGGAGCAUGCGGAUUAAUUCGAUGCAACGCGAAGAACCUUACCAAGGCUUGACAUUCACCGGACCGCCCCAGAGAUGGGGUUUCCCUUCGGGGCUGGUGGACAGGUGGUGCAUGGUGUCGUCAGCUCGUGUCGUGAGAUGUUGGGUUAGUCCCGCACGAGCGCACCUCGUUCUAUGUGCAGCACGUGAUGGUGGGGGACUCAUAGGAGACUGCCGGGUCCACCUCGAGGAAG